GACACCUUGGCGGAGUGGUUAUCGCGUUUGACUACUAAUCAAAUACCCUAGUGGUGCGCAGGUUCGAAUCCUGCAGGUGUCG
rfam:Catenaria anguillulae PL171 BCR44scaffold_27, whole genome shotgun sequence.